rnacentral:rRNA from 1 species
UACGAAGGGGGCUAGCGUUACUCGGAUUGACUGGGCGUAAAGGGCGCGUAGGCGGUUCGUACAGUCAGACGUGAAAUUCCUGGGCUCAACUUGGGGGCUGCGUUUGAUACGUGCGGGCUUGAGUUCGGAAGAGGGUCGUGGAAUUCCCAGUGUAGAGGUGAAAUUCGUAGAUAUUGGGAAGAACACCGGUGGCGAAGGCGGCGACCUGGUCCGAUACUGACGCUGAGGCGCGAAAGCGUGGGGAGCAAACAGG